GAGGGGCGGGGCUUGGGCGGCUCCGGGUUGCGGGGGGUGAGCGCGCUGGACUUCGCGUGGGGCCCGUGCCGCUCUCUUGUGCGGAGUCGCAGCGGGGAGGGACGGAGGUCCAGGUGCGGCCUUCUCUGCCGCCCACAGGGCAAGGCUGGGACCUGGGGUGGAAGGAUGAACGGGCCUCGGACGUAGGUCACGGUGAGGGCCCGCCUCUCCGGGGCCGGGCCAUGAAUGUGCGGGCAGGGGGCUGGGCCCGUGAGUUGGAGCAGAGUCCAAGUCUAGGUGCCAAGAUACUGCACAACAGUCCUCGGAGCCCCGACUCUGCCGCACAGCGAGAGACAAACGGACCUUGAUAGACUGGUAGGCCCACACGAAAGGAAGGAUCAUCGCUAUUGUCCAAACUGUCGACAUAUGCCGGGAAGCAGAACCUCAGCGAAUUGAGAAAAUGCUCCGGAGGAUGGCGGCUUACAUCUGUAUUUAUACAUUGCCAUCAAAGGAGGGACAUAGGUGGGUUCCGACUUCGGGAAAAUCGCGUUACAUCGCGCCGUAGGAACGGAUCUCCGACGGAACCCGAGGGCUGCCUGUACUUGGUUUGCACUCAAAGCCCUUGGGCAGCUCGGCAAUAGAUGGGCUGAGAAAUAGGUGUCACUCGGUGCUUCCAUCCGUGACCCCAGCGUCUGUGUGGGGUGGGGAACUGUGUGGUGUGUGGCCGGCGCCAGAGGGGACGGCCAUGGGAGCUGAGGAGGAGGUGGUUCUAGUGAGAAGAUGUGCGUGAGCGAAGAAACUGAACAGGACUUGAUCCAAAUUACAGACCUGCACGCGACGGAGACACUUCCCCAAGAGUGGAAAGGAGGCCUGUCCAGGCAGCUCCGUCAGAGCGCGGUCCCGAUCUGGGCUCGAUCCCUGGUCAGCCCGUUACGAGAAUCACCCAGUGGAUGCAUCAACAGCAAAUUGCUUUCUCUCUCUAGCUAGCUAGCUCUCUCUCCCCUUCUUCUAAAACCAAUUUUUAAAAAUUGGUUUCUUUAAAGAAAAGCGGGGGGAUGAAAAGGAGAUACAGAGCCUGGCUGGUGUGGCUCAGUGGUUGAGCAUCAGCCUACCAACCAAGAGGUCCCUGUUCAAUUCUGUUGGGGCACAUGCACGGGUUGCGGGCCACAUCUCUCCAGUAGGGGGCAUGCAGGAGGCAGCGGAUCAGUGAUGUUUCUCUCUUUUUUUUUUAAUUCUUUAUUAUUUAAAGUAUUAUGUAAGUCUUCUUUAUCCCCCAUUGAUCUCACCCCGGCCGCCCCCAGCCCCUAGCACAUGCCCUCACCCCCCUACUUUCUGUGUCCAGUGGUUAUGCUCAUAUGCAUGCAUACAAGUCCUUUGGUUGAUCUCUUACC